CCCUAAUUCCCCAUUUGUCCUUCCACAACCACCAGCCCCCAUCCCCUGGCCGCCGGCGCACGCUGCACGCGCGCAGACAGCAGCCAGGCAAGCCGCCCCCUCUCUCCUCUCUGGCAAGCCGACCCGUCGCAACGCCGGCAAGUCACCUCCUCGCCCUCUUCGGCAAGCCCCUCCCCUUCCCGUUGCCCACUCUCCUGGCAGACAGCAGGGCACCACGUCAUAGGGAAAUAGAUAGACAGAGAAAAGAAGAGAAACGGAACGAGAAAAAGAGGGGAGGAGCCAGAGGAGGAAACGAGGAAGGAGGAGACGGCAGCCACCGAGCGAAAACUGGAAGGGGAAGAGCUCCACUAGCGCGUGCGUUGCGAGGAGAUGUGGCGGAGGCGGCGAGCUCUCCUUCUCCGAUCCCCGCCGUCUUCCUCCUCCACAGCCGCCUCUUCUUGCCAGCAUCGCCGCCGCCACCUCCUCCCCAGCGAGGAACCUCUUGCUGUCAAUCGUCUUGCACGGCUCUUCACGUCCCAAGCUGGAAGUGAUUGUGGCAAUUCCCAGAAGCCGUUCAUUGCUUUCGUCUUAGGGGGUCCUGGUAGUGGCAAAGGAACACAAUGCACCAAAAUUGCUUCGGAUUUCGGAUUUGCCCAUUUGAGCGCUGGUGACCUUCUGCGCCAUGAAAUAGCAUCUGGCAGUGAGAAAGGGGAGUUGAUCCUGGACACCAUUAAGGAAGGGAGGAUCGUCCCAUCAGAGAUAACCGUGGAACUCAUAAGGAAAGCUAUGGAAACGAGCAAUGCCAAUAAGGUUCUUAUUGAUGGCUUCCCAAGGUGUGAGGAAAACAGAAUCGCUUUUGAAAGAAUUGUUGGAAGAGAACCGGACGUUGUGGUUUUCUUUGACUGUCCUGAGGAUGAGAUGGUAAAACGCCUUCUAGGCCGUAACCAGGGGCGGGUUGAUGAUAACAUUGAGACAAUCAAGACGCGUCUAAAAGUGUUUGAGAGUUUGAAUAUUCCUGUUAUUGACUACUAUUCUUCUAGGGGAAAGGUUCGCAAGGUAAGUAAACUGUUUUAUUCUGCACACAGCUAUGCAAACAGGACAACUCUAUAUCUUACAUUGCUCGAACUCCUUUUGUUGCAAAGCUGAAUGAUAAAACUUCUUUGUCUAACUGUAAAAUUUCUAUAUGUAUUCCGGAAUCUAUCUAAUGUCAGUGUAUGUACUCAAAAAGAAUAUGAUUAGAGAAGCAUAAAUGGCGGCAUGUGUUGAAACACAAAAUUAAACAGAUGUGAUGCAUUUCUUCGAUAACUGUUUGCGCUGCUGUAUAACCUCAACUUUCUUUGUUUUGGGGAAAAGUGAAAUCUACUUAUUGGUUAGAUUUUAGAUGAGCAACUGUGUUUUGAUCAUCCCGGGAACAUGGCUUGCAUAUGCUAAGUCGCUAAAUUGCUGCAAGUGGGACAUGAACCAGGGAUAUACAUGAUAAAUGCCACGGGCACUGCAGAUGAAAUUUUUGAUGCAGUCCACAAGCUCUUUUCGUCCUUAAGGUAAGUCCCAGUGCAUGACAUUCGAAAUUUCUCAGAAAGAUUGAUGAUACAGUUAUAGCAAUGGUUAUGCUGUUUUUCUUUUCCUAGAAGGGACCGCAUAUUUGGUAUGUCUAAUUAUAUGCCCUAGAGUAGUGAACCAUGUGUGGCCGUCCUAAAGUUUUAUUUUUUUCUUUAUGUGACUGCUUGCAGAUUAUUAUCUAGUAGCACCAAAUUGUCUGUGUAUCGGUAGUUGUCAUGUAUGAUGAUGAAUUGGUAAUUGGUAGCAAGUUGUUUCAGGGUAACAUCUUUUCAUCACUACUUAAGAGUAAAAAACAAUUUCUCACUUGUAAGGUUGCCAUUGUAGAUAUAGAAAGCUAUCAGCUAAGCUAAUCAUUAUUGCUAGUAAAAUCCUGACUAUUAUGAUUCCGUGCCCUUUGUGUUGAUGGUUGACAACAAAGAAAGGCAUGGCUGACAAGCAAAAUGAAAAGGUACCAUUUUCUUUUGGUGCUGAUGGCAGAAAGAGAGUAGGAUAAGGAUGGAACGGGAUGCAUUUGUCUUUUUGUUGACUCAUUUAAGCUAUGCUUGUAGCCAUUUUGUUGACCCAUUUAGAUGAUAGCGACAGCAUCUGCAGGCCCCAACUUUGUUAGUGUUAUGUAUAAAAGAGUGGUGUAAUCAUUUCACCAU